rnacentral:rRNA from 1 species
AUUGAACGCUGGCGGAAUGCUUUACACAUGCAAGUCGAACGGCAGCACGGGUGCUUGCACCUGGUGGCGAGUGGCGAACGGGUGAGUAAUGCACCGGAACGUAUCCAAUAAUGGGGGAUAACGCACCGAAAGGUGUGCUAAUACCGCAUACGCCCUGAGGGGGAAAGCGGGGGGAUCGUAAGACCUCGCGUUAAUGGAGCGGCCGAUGCCGGAUUAGCUAGUGGUGAGGUAAAGGCUCACCAAGGCGACGAUCCGUAGCUGGUCUGAGAGGACGACCAGCCACACUGGAACUGAGACACGGUCCAGACUCCUACGGGAGGCAGCAGUGGGGAAUUUUGGACAAUGGGCGCAAGCCUGAUCCAGCCAUUCCGCGUGAGUGAAGAAGG